rnacentral:rRNA from 1 species
UGCGGCGUGCCUAAUACAUGCAAGUCGAACGGUCUUUCUAUGGAAGCUUGCUUCCACUGAGAAGAUAGUGGCGAACGGGUGAGUAACACGUGGGUAACCUGCCCAUAAGAGGGGGAUAACAUCCGGAAACGGGUGCUAAUACCGCAUAGUUUUCUUGAUCGCAUGAUCGGGAAAGGAAAGACGGCCUUUGUGCUGUCGCUUAUGGAUGGACCCGCGGCGUAUUAGUUAGUUGGUGAGGUAACGGCUCACUAAGACGAUGAUACGUAGCCGACCUGAGAGGGUGAUCGGCCACAUUGGGACUGAGACACGGCCCAAACUCCUACGGGAGGCAGCAGUAGGGAAUCUUCCGCAAUGGACGAAAGUCUGACGGAGCAACGCCGCGUGAGUGAAGUAAAAGGGUUUUCGGAUCGUAAAACUCUGUUGUCAGAGAAGAACAAGUUGGAGAGUAACUGCUCCAGCCUUGACGGUAUCUGACCAGAAAGCCACGGCUAACUACGUGCCAGCAGCCGC